CAAUGAUUAUGUGUCAGUGAUCUUGACUGUGACCUGUAUGCUAAAAAAAUUGCUUUUUCGAACUUUGUUGCUGUGUUUCACAAGCGCAUCUUGUUUUGUUGGUCUCUGACCAGUAGAGCUUAUGCGAUAGUAAAGCGUCCGGCGUCCGUCCGUCUGUCUGCAAACACUACUCCUCCUUAAAUUUUAGUCUGAUUUCAAUAUAACUUGGCACACAAGUAGACUAUACUAAGAUACAUAAUUCUGUGCAUCAGUUUUUGAUAAGUACAAACCAGUAGAGCUACAAUCUCGACAGAGACUUCUGGUUAUUUUUUCUUCCAUCCCGGUUGUUGCUAAUGCUAUUACAUAAUUAGUUUAAAUUAGAAUGCAAUAGUACCUGGACAUAAUUUAUCAUUUCAGAGAGAAGAAAACUGUGUGACUUUAAAAGAAAACCAGUGAGAUAAAAUCAUAGAAAAUGUAUGAUGAUUCAGGAUGUGGUCAUUUGUGACAUUAAAACAGGAAUUGUCAUCACCAAUAGACGAAUUUCACAUUCCUAAGAGUUUUCUCCAAUUGUUGGCGUAUCGCUCAUUUUUCCCACUUUGUCCUUUGUCCUGUUCUGUGGAUGCCCAAAGACAGUGUCUACCCAUCACUCCAUCUGAUAUCACUUGUUCUGAGCAUAUUUCUCUCUCAAACUUAAACUACAGAGAGCCUGUGGAUAGUGGAUGAAGAGUGACCUUGGACCAAUUUUCUAGGUCAAAGAUCAAAGGUGAUGUGAAGAAAACCAGGAAACUGAUGUUGAAAGAAGUACUUAAUGACCCUUAUGAAUGGACUUAAAUGUGAAAGACUGUUCCAUUGUUUAUCUAAGAU